rnacentral:rRNA from 1 species
UACGAACUGUGCAAACGUUAUUCGGAUUCACUGGGCUUAAAGGGUGCGUAGGCGGCCAUGUAAGUAGGGUGUGAAAUCCCCCGGCUUAACCGGGGAACUGCGCCCUAAACUGUAUGGCUGGAGUGAGAUAGGGGUGUGUGGAACUUCCGGUGGAGCGGUGAAAUGUGUUGAUAUCGGAAGGAACGCCGGUGGCGAAAGCGACACACUGGGUCUCAACUGACGCUGAGGCACGAAAGCCAGGGGAGCGAA